rnacentral:rRNA from 1 species
UACGUAGGGGGCAAGCGUUAUCCGGAAUUACUGGGUGUAUAGGGUGAGUAGGCGGCAUGGUAAGCCAGAUGUGAAAGCCUUGGGCUUAACCCGAGGAUUGCAUUUGGAACUAUCAAGCUAGAGUACAGGAGAGGAAAGCGGAAUUCCUAGUGUAGCGGUGAAAUGCGUAGAUAUUAGGAAGAACACCAGUGGCGAAGGCGGCUUUCUGGACUGAAACUGACGCUGAGGCACGAAAGCGUGGGGAGCGAACAGG